rnacentral:tRNA from 1 species
GGUGGCUCACUGGUAGAGUGCUUGCCUAGCAUGCAUGAAGCCCUGGGUUCGAUUCCUCAGCACCA